rnacentral:rRNA from 1 species
GAGUUUGAUCCUGGCUCAGGGUGAACGCUGGCGGCGCGCUUAAUGCAUGCAAGUCGUACGUGCCUUCGGGCAAGUGGCAGACGGCUGAGUAACGCGUGAGUAACGUGCCCUUCGGUGGGGUAUAGCCUCGGGAAACUGAGAGUAAUCCCGCAUACGAUCCGAUGACCCCGGUUUUCGGAUGAAAGCCUCCGGGCGCCGAAGGAGCGGCUCGCGUCCUAUCAGGUAGUUGGUGGGGUAAAAGCUCACCAAGCCGAUGACGGGUAGCUGGUCUGAGAGGACGAUCAGCCAGAGGGGGACUGAGACACGGCCCCCACUCCUACGGGAGGCAGCAGCAGGGAAUUUUGGGCAAUGGGCGAAAGCCUGACCCAGCGACGUCGCGUGGGGGAUGAAGGCUUUCGAGUUGUAAACCCCUUUUCCCAGGGAUGAGAAAGGACAGUACCUGGGGAAUAAGGUUCGGCUAACUACGUGCCAGCAGCCGCGGUAAUACGUAGGAACCGAGCGUUGUCCGGAUUUACUGGGCGUAAAGUGCGCGUAGGCGGUCCGUUAAGUCUCAUGUGAAAUCUCCCGGCUCAACUGGGAGGGGUCAUGGGAUACUGGCAGACUUGAGUGCAGCAGAGGGGAGUGGAAUUCCCGGAGUAGUGGUGGAAUGCGUAGAUACCGGGAGGAACACCAGAGGCGAAGGCGACUCCCUGGGCUGUGACUGACGCUGAGGCGCGAAAGCGUGGGUAGCAAACCGGAUUAGAUACCCUGGUAGUC